CCUACGGGUGGCAGCAGUGAGGAAUAUUGGUCAAUGGCCGCAAGGCUGAACCAGCCAAGUCGCGUGAGGGAUGACGGUCCUAUGGAUUGUAAACCUCUUUUGUCAGGGAGCAAAGGGCGCCACGUGUGGCGCUUUGCGAGUACCUGAAGAAAAAGCAUCGGCUAACUCCGUGCCAGCAGCCGCGGUAAUACGGGGGAUGCGAGUGUUAUCCGGAUUUAUUGGGUUUAAGGGGUGCGCAGGCGGAAUGUCAAGUCAGCGGUAAAAUUUCGGGGCUCACGCCCGUCGUGCCGUUGAAACUGGCGUUCUUGAGUGAGCGAGAAGUAGGCGGAAUGCGUGGUGUAGCGGUGAAAUGCAUAGAUAUCACGCAGAACUCCGAUUGCGAAGGCAGCAUACCGGCGCUCAAUUGACGCUCAUGCACGAAAGCGUGGGUAUCGAACAGGAUUAGAUACCCGUGUAGUC
rnacentral:rRNA from 1 species